UAUGAUGUGGUUCCUUAUAAGUUUGGUGAGAAAUCUUCGCAGACUUUGAGUUCAACUGGCUAUCAGAACAUGGCAUUCAAAGCCUACAAUGGGCUUGGUCAUCCUGGAUCAGUUAUCCUCGACUUCAUCGUCAAUGGGGAAUGAGCUCAUGAGCAUUACACAGCAAAAGCAUCAAGAGGGGCCAUCUCAACAAUGGAGAAACUUCCUACUAAUUCAAGAUGCGGAAUACAUUUAUCAAUUUAUUUUUAGAUUUUGUUUGUGAGAGAUAUGUGUCUUGUGAAUUUGUUGGAGGA